rnacentral:sRNA from 1 species
CUAGCCCCGAUUGCAAUGGAAAUCCUUUUUUGGUGGCUGAGGCAACCGAAGCCGCCAAAAAAGAUUGCAAUGGAAAGCGGGAAAAAG